rnacentral:rRNA from 1 species
GACGAACGCUGGCGGCGUGCUUAACACAUGCAAGUCGAACGGAAAGGCCCUGCUUUUGUGGGGUGCUCGAGUGGCGAACGGGUGAGUAACACGUGAGUAACCUGCCCUUGACUUUGGGAUAACUUCAGGGAACUGGGGCUAAUACCGGAUAGGAGCUCCUGCUGCAUGGUGGGGGUUGGAAAGUUUCGGCGGUUGGGGAUGGACUCGCGGCUUAUCAGCUUGUUGGUGGGGUAGUGGCUUACCAAGGCUUUGACGGGUAGCCGGCCUGAGAGGGUGACCGGCCACAUUGGGACUGAGAUACGGCCCAGACUCCUACGGGAGGCAGCGGUGGGGAAUAUUGCGGAAUGGGCGGAAGCCUGAGGCAGAAGCGCCGGGUGCGGGAUGACGGCCUUCGGGUUGUAAACCGCUGUCGCCUGAGCCGAAGCGUGAGUGACGGUAAUGGGUAAAGAAGCACCGGCUAACUACGUG